rnacentral:rRNA from 2 species
CACGUAGGGCGCAAGCGUUGUCCGGAAUUAUUGGGCGUAAAGAGCUCGUAGGCGGACUGUUGCGUCUGCUGUGAAAAGCUAGGGCUUAACCCUGGCCUUGCAGUGGAUACGGGCAGACUAGAGGUAGGUAGGGGAGAAUGGAAUUCCCGGUGUAGCGGUGAAAUGCGCAGAUAUCGGGAGGAACACCGGUGGCGAAGGCGGUUCUCUGGGCCUUACCUGACGCUGAGGAGCGAAAGCGUGGGGAGCGAACAGG